rnacentral:rRNA from 1 species
AKAAGUACCGUGAGGGAAAGUUGCAAAGCACUUUGAAGAGAGAGUUAAAGAGGACGUGAAACCGGUAAGGUGGAAACGGAUAGAGUCGGCGUAUCUUUCAAUUAUUCAUUUACAUUAUUUUUAUGUUGUGACCUCUGAGCUCCAGAUUGGGACAGAGGGAAUCAGCAUAAUUUUUUGUGGUGCAUUUACUUGAUUGGUGCUUGGGGAUGUUUGAGGCAGAUUUGUUUCCGUCGUUUUGAGGCCAGCUUGCUGGUACCCAAACGGUGUUAGCAUUUUUUGUCUUGGGCAUUUGAGUAUGGCUUACGGGUAUUUAUUGGUCAGAUCUGAGUGUAAGUUACGGUCGCAUGCGACACGUGCUUUUCAAUUAGUUCGGUCCAGUUAAUGCUCUCGUACUCGUUCCCCAUGUAAAAGCCGGUCAUCUAUCCGACCCGUCUUGAAACACGGACCAAGGAGUUUAUCGUGUGCGCAAGUUUUUGGGUGUUAAAAACUUAAAAGCGAAAUGAAAGUAAAUGACUCUUUAGAGUCUGAUGUGCGAUCUUGUAAAAAAGUGUAGCAUGGCCCCAUUCUAACUGUUUACAGUAGGGUGGCGGAAGAGCGUACGCGGUGAGACCCGAAAGAUGGUGAACUAUUCCUGAGCAGGACGAAGCCAGAGGAAACUCUGGUGGAAGUCCGAAGCGGUUCUGACGUGCAAAUCGAUCGUCUGACUUGGGUAUAGGGGCGAAAGACUAAUCGAACCAUCUAGUAGCUGGUUCCUUCCGA